rnacentral:rRNA from 1 species
GUGCCAGUCGCCGCGGUAAUACCGGCAGCUCAAGUGAUGUCCCAUAUUAUUGGGCCUAAAGCGUCCGUAGCUGGCCGACCAAGUCUCCCGGGAAAUCCACCCGCCCAACGGGUGGGCGUCCGGUAGAAACUGGCCGGCUUGGAACCGGAAGGCUCGAGGGGUACGUCCGGGGUAGGAGUGAAAUCCCGUAAUCCCGAACGGACCACCGAUGGCGAAAGCACCUCGAGAAGACGGCUCCGACAGUGAGGGACGAAAGCUAGGGUCUCGAACCGGAUUAGAAACCCUGUAGUCC